rnacentral:lncRNA from 1 species
CUUAUCGCCACCGCACUUAGCUGUCGAACUAAGAAAUCGGUUGUGUGGGAAAAAGGACCAGAAUAGGUGGAAAGAUAGUCCAGAAAUUUACCUGUGCCACACACAAGAUGGCGAGACGUAGGGUUCGUCCCUGUGCUGCCAAAAGGGGGCGCCCGACACGGAAGGCGGGACUCCGGAGACACGAGCGCACAUUGGCCGAGAGUGGCGGGCGAACACAAAGUUGACGCUUUGCGUCCUUCCAUUGGCAGUUUCUUCCGUCUGUCUCUCGGUUGCAGCCGAGCUGGGAAUGGGGAAAACCCGGAGUGUGGGAUCGUGGAGGGCGGACGAUGCCAAGUCCAGCAGAGCUUGCGCUCGGGGCUAGAAGAGAGACUGAGUCUCCCUUCUCAGUUUCAUUAGGUAAUGGGCGACAUGGCUCCGUCUCCACAGCGGGGCUUUGCUGAGCUUAGCACGCAGUCUCCCGGCGGGGAGGAGGCGCGCAGUGCCGGGCGCCACUCCGUCUCCAGUACGCGUUAGGCCCGCGUUCCCAGGUGCCCGUCUGGCCGCUGGACUGUUGGCCUUUCCGGAGCGAGUUUUACUUUAGGAAGAAGCCCGGGAUCCCGGUAGUUUAGCCUGAAGAAACGUGGGGCAGAUGCUGGGCAGGGCGGGGAUACCGCGCCAACACCCGCUGCCCAGCGGUCGCCCUCCUAUGCAGCGGCGAAGGGACGCCCGCUGUGUCUCCGCCCUGCCCCCAGGCGCCCCAGUGGCUGGAGGUGGCAUUCUCCACUGGACGGGCGCGCCUCAAUCCGGGGGACUUCCACAGUGCUGUUCCCGAGGACUACGCGUCUCAACUCUUUGUCGGGUUCCCUCCCUCCCACUGCCAGUCUGUCUUCACCGCCGCGCAGACCUGGGGCCGCCCUUCACAGAGGAAGGGCUCCUUGACCUCAGCCACCGUGACCCCCUCCUUUGUGUCACAUUCUCAGAGAGUUGGAGGGAUUAUGCGUCAUCGUAAACAGGGGGACAGAGCGCCUUCCACCUGCGGCGCAUCCAUUAAGUUCCAGUUACCCUCGAGAGGAUUGUUUUUUCCACGAAACCCAGAUGCAAUGAGAGCCUGGCUUGUACCAUCUCUAAGCAUCGAGGCUUCCCCCUCGUCUGGGUGGUGGCCUUCGGGCAGUGGCUCCGGAAAGGCCAUCAAGGCUUCCCCGUCGUCUGGAUGGUGGCCUUCGGGCAGUGGACUGUGUCCAUAGCUGAAAACCAGACUUGACAGUUCUGGAUUCAGGCUGUUGUGGGAGCGGGAAGGUCAAACACCCAGAAGGAACUGAUGAAUGUGAAUUUCCCUCUAAGAACUGCUUUGCCUGGCCGGGCGCGGUGGCUCACGCUUGUAAUUCCAGCACUUUGGGAGGCUGAGGUGGGUGGAUGCCGAGGUGAGUGGAUCACGAGGUCAGGAGUUCGAGACCAGCCUGACCAACAUAGUGAAACCCCCGUCUCUACUAAAAAUACAAAAAUUAGCCGGGCCUGGUGGCGUGCGCCUGUAAUCCCAGCUACUCGGGAGGCUGAGACAGGAGAAUCGCUUGAAUCCGGGAGGCAGAGGUUGCAGGAGCUGAGAUCACGCCAUUGCACUCCAGCCUGGGCAACAGAGUGAGACUCCAUCUCAAAAAAAAAAACAAAAAAAGAACUGUUUUCUGACGUUAUUCCCAUGCAGGUGCCUUUGCUAGAAGUGGGUGAGGAAGGCUCAUGCCCAUCUGGUUCCAGAACCACCACUUAAAUUUCCCAAACACUCACUGAAUGCCCGCUGUGUACAUGGCAGUGAGCCUUUGACUCAUGCUUCAUUUUCAUGUACAAGGUGGGUAGGACAGUUAUGGAGUUGAACCAUAUGAAACUGAUGUCUAUGUAGGUGAAAACGAACUGAAAAUCAACACAUUUACAGGUUCAACUUCUGAUAUAACCCUCCUUUUAACAAAUCAAAAAAGCAAACCUAGAGAUUAUAGCAAGGGACUUGGAGUUACCCACUGGAUCAAUGAUGGAGCCGAGGCUAAGUCCUAAAACAGAGGAAUCUGCAUUUUUAGAUGAGCCCUGGGGCAGAAGUUGCCCCCAUGGACCUCCCUCUCAUCCCAGGAGUGUGGUAUCUGACAGCUCAUAGUGGGGGAGUUAUUUAGGCUAUGAAGAACCGU